AGUGAACGCUGGCGGUAGGCCUAACGCAUGCAAGUCGAACGGCAGCACAGUAAGAGCUUGCUCUUACGGGUGGCGAGUGGCGGACGGGUGAGGAAUACAUCGGAAUCUACUUUUUCGUGGGGGAUAACGUAGGGAAACUUACGCUAAUACCGCAUACGACCUACGGGUGAAAGCAGGGGAUCUUCGGACCUUGCGCGAUUGAAUGAGCCGAUGUCGGAUUAGCUAGUUGGCGGGGUAAAGGCCCACCAAGGCGACGAUCCGUAGCUGGUCUGAGAGGAUGAUCAGCCACACUGGAACUGAGACACGGUCCAUACUCCUACGGGAGGCAGCAGUGGGGAAUAUUGGACAAUGGGCGCAAGCCUGAUCCAGCCAUACCGCGUGGGUGAAGAAGGCCUUCGGGUUGUAAAGCCCUUUUGUUGGGAAAGAAAAGCAGCAGGUUAAUACCCCGCUGUUCUGACGGUACCCAAAGAAUAAGCACCGGCUAACUUCGUG
rnacentral:rRNA from 1 species